GAUGAACGCUGGCGGCGUGCCUAAUACAUGCAAGUCGAGCGAACGGACGAGAAGCUUGCUUCUCUGAUGUUAGCGGCGGACGGGUGAGUAACACGUGGAUAACCUACCUAUAAGACUGGGAUAACUUCGGGAAACCGUAGCUAAUACCGGAUAAUAUUUUGAACCGCAUGGUUCAAAAGUGAAAGACGGUCUUGCUGUCACUUAUAGAUGGAUCCGCGCUGCAUUAGCUAGUUGGUAAGGUAACGGCUUACCAAGGCAACGAUGCAUAGCCGACCUGAGAGGGUGAUCGGCCACACUGGAACUGAGACACGGUCCAGACUCCUACGGGAGGCAGCAGUAGGGAAUCUUCCGCAAUGGGCGAAGGCCUGACGGAGCAACGCCGCGUGAGUGAUGGAGGUCUUCGGAUCGUAAAACUCUGUUAUUAAGGAAGAACAUAUGUGUAAGUAACUGUGCACAUCUUGACGGUACCUAAUCAGAAAGCCACGGCUAACUACGUG
rnacentral:rRNA from 1 species